UGGGGAAUAUUGGACAAUGGGCGAAAGCCUGAUCCAGCCAUGCCGCGUGUGUGAAGAAGGUCUUCGGAUUGUAAAGCACUUUAAGUUGGGAGGAAGGGCAGUAAGCGAAUACCUUGCUGUUUUGACGUUACCGACAGAAUAAGCACCGGCUAACUCUGUGCCAGCAGCCGCGGUAAUACAGAGGGUGCAAGCGUUAAUCGGAAUUACUGGGCGUAAAGCGCGCGUAGGUGGUUCGUUAAGUUGAAUGUGAAAGCCCCGGGCUCAACCUGGGAACUGCAUCCAAAACUGGCCAGCUAGAGUAGGGCAGAGGGUGGUGGAAUUUCCUGUGUAGCGGUGAAAUGCGUAGAUAUAGGAAGGAACACCAGUGGCGAAGGCGACCACCUGGGCUCAUACUGACACUGAGGUGCGAAAGCGUGGGGAGCAAACAGG
rnacentral:rRNA from 1 species